GAUGAACGCUGGCGGCGUGCCUAAUACAUGCAAGUCGAGCGAACGGACGAGAAGCUUGCUUCUCUGAUGUUAGCGGCGGACGGGUGAGUAACACGUGGAUAACCUACCUAUAAGACUGGGAUAACUUCGGGAAACCGUAGCUAAUACCGGAUAAUAUUUUGAACCGCAUGGUUCAAAAGUGAAAGACGGUCUUGCUGUCACUUAUAGAUGGAUCCGCGCUGCAUUAGCUAGUUGGUAAGGUAACGGCUUACCAAGGCAACGAUGCAUAGCCGACCUGAGAGGGUGAUCGGCCACACUGGAACGGGGACACGGUCCAGACUCCUACGGGAGGCAGCAGUAGGGUAUCUUCCGCAAUGGGCGAAAGCCUGACGGAGCAACGCCGCGUGAGUGAUGAAGGUCUUCGGAUCGUAAAACUCUGUUAUUAGGGAAGAACAUAUGUGUAAGUAACUGUGCACAUCUUGACGGUACCUAAUCAGAAAGCCACGGCUAACUACGUG
rnacentral:rRNA from 1 species